rnacentral:rRNA from 1 species
GAUGAACGCUGGCGGCGUGCUUAACACAUGCAAGUCGAACGAAGCACUUUGAUAAGCUUGCUUAGAGAAGUGACUGAGUGGCGGACGGGUGAGUAACGCGUGGGUAACCUGCCUCACACAGGGGGAUAACAGUUAGAAAUGACUGCUAAUACCGCAUAAAAUGGCAGUUUCGCAUGAAACAACCAUCAAAGAUUUAUCGGUGUGAGAUGGACCCGCGUCUGAUUAGCUAGUUGGUAAGGUAACGGCUUACCAAGGCGACGAUCAGUAGCCGACCUGAGAGGGUGACCGGCCACAUUGGGACUGAGACACGGCCCAAACUCCUACGGGAGGCAGCAGUGGGGAAUAUUGGACAAUGGGCGCAAGCCUGAUCCAGCGACGCCGCGUGAGUGAGGAAGUAUUUCGGUAUGUAAAGCUCUAUCAGCAGGGAAGAAAAUGACGGUACCUGACUAAGAAGCCCCGGCUAACUACGUGCCAGCCGCCGCGGUAAAAC